rnacentral:tRNA from 1 species
GGAAAGGUGGCAGAGCGGUUUAAUGCAGUUGUCUUGAAAACAAUCAAUCUUUAGGGUUUCGUGGGUUCAAAUCCCACUCUUUCCU